rnacentral:rRNA from 1 species
CCUACGGGAGACAGCAGUGAGGAAUAUUGGUCAAUGGACGGAAGUCUGAACCAGCCAUGCCGCGUGCAGGAAGACGGCUCUAUGAGUUGUAAACUGCUUUUGUACAAGGGUAAACCUGAAUACGUGUAUUCAGCUGAAAGUACCGUACGAAUAAGGAUCGGCUAACUCCGUGCCAGCAGCCGCGGUAAUACGGAGGAUCCAAGCGUUAUCCGGAUUUAUUGGGUUUAAAGGGUGCGUAGGCGGAUUGAUAAGUUAGAGGUGAAAUGUCUGGGCUUAACUCGGGAACUGCAUCUGAUACUGUUGUUCUAGAGAAUAGAUGCGGUAGGCGGAAUGUAUGGUGUAGCGGUGAAAUGCUUAGAGAUCAUGCAGAACACCGAUUGCGAAGGCAGCUUACCAGUCUGUAUCUGACGUUGAGGCACGAAAGCGUGGGGAGCAAACAGGAUUAGAUACCCGUGUAGUC